AGAAGCUAGAGUAUAAUAAGGGAGUUGCUCAUGCUAUUUGCUAUGUUUCCUUAGGAUGUUAAGUUGAGUACUAGGAAGUGUUACUUUUGGCUAUGAGUUCCCACCUUCAAACCUCUUUCCCUAUGAGUUCUAGAAAGUUCACUUGUGGACAAGUAAAAGAACAAGUUUGGGGGAGUCCUCUUUCCCUUAUGAGUUCUUGCAAAGUCACUUGAGGACAAGUAAAGAACAAGUGAGCAUAGAUAUCCCCUAUCACAAUUAUUAACGGGUCAAGAGCCAGACAUACCCCAUCAUAAGAUAUUUGGAUGUGCUGUCUAUGUACUAAUUG
rnacentral:lncRNA from 1 species